UACGUAGGGUGCAAGCGUUAAUCGGAAUUACUGGGCGUAAAGCGUACGCAGGCGGCUUUGCAAGACAGGUGUGAAAUCCCCGGGCCUAACCUGGGAACUGCAUUUGUGACUGCAUGGCUAGAGUUUGUCAGAGGGGGGUGGAAUUCCACGUGUAGCAGUGAAAUGCGCAGAUAUCAGGAGGAACACCAAUGGCGAAGGCAGCUCGCUGGGACGGUACUGACGCUGAGACGCGAAAGCGUGGGGAGCGAACAGG
rnacentral:rRNA from 1 species